rnacentral:rRNA from 1 species
CCUACGGGUGGCAGCAGUGAGGAAUAUUGGUCAAUGGACGAGAGUCUGAACCAGCCAAGUAGCGUGAAGGAUGACUGCCCUAUGGGUUGUAAACAUCUUUUAUAAAGGAAUAAAACGAGGCACGUGUGCCCUUUUGCAUGUACUUUAUGAAUAAGGAUCGGCUAACCUCGUGCCAGCAGCCGCGGUAAUACGGAGGGUCCGAGCGUUAUCCGGAUUUAUUGGGUGUAAAGGGAGCGUAGGUGGGUUGUUAAGUCAGUUGUGAAAGUUUGCGGCUCAACCGUAAAAUUGCAAUUGAUACUGGCAGGCUUGAGUAGAGUAGAGGUAGGCGGAAUUCGAGGUGUAGCGGUGAAAUGCUUAGAUAUCACGAAGAACCCCGAUUGCGAAGGCAGCUUACUAAACUGAGACUGACGUUGAUGCUCGAAAGUGUGGGUAUCAAACAGGAUUAGAUACCCCAGUAGUC